UGGGGAAUUUUGGACAAUGGGCGAAAGCCUGAUCCAGCAAUGCCGCGUGUGUGAAGAAGGCCUUCGGGUUGUAAAGCACUUUUGUCCGGAAAGAAAUCCUUGGCUCUAAUACAGUCGGGGGAUGACGGUACCGGAAGAAUAAGCACCGGCUAACUACGUGCCAGCAGCCGCGGUAAUACGUAGGGUGCAAGCGUUAAUCGGAAUUACUGGGCGUAAAGCGUGCGCAGGCGGUUUGCUAAGACCGAUGUGAAAUCCCCGGGCUCAACCUGGGGAACUGCAUUGGUGACUGGCAGGCUAGAGUAUGGCAGAGGGGGGUAGAAUUCCACGUGUAGCAGUGAAAUGCGUAGAGAUGUGGAGGAAUACCGAUGGCGAAGGCAGCCCCCUGGGCCAAUACUGACGCUCAUGCACGAAAGCGUGGGGAGCAAACAGGAUUAGAUACCCUGGUAGUCCACGCCCUAAACGAUGUCAACUAGUUGUUGGGGAUUCAUUUCCUUAGUAACGUAGCUAACGCGUGAAGUUGACCGCCUGGGGAGUACGGUCGCAAGAUU
rnacentral:rRNA from 1 species